GCCAGGUGUCUGGAUGAGCCAUAUAAUUGCAUUUUGUUUUGAAGAAAUACAUUGAAGUGACAUACAUCAGUGAGAAACAUGGCUGGUCAAGAUACAGGACAACUAUUCCUGUACUUCAUAGGAAUCUUCAUGGCUGCCCUGCUGACCCAUGAAUGUGUUGUGGAAACACUCGAUUUACGGAACUUAAAAUAUUCAACAGCCUCAACAGUAACCUCAGCACAGACAGUUAUUGGAAUGUCAAUGGCAAUAAAUCAGAUUUUUGACAUCAGUCUUACUGACCGUAAUAGCAAGACUUACAAAUAUUUAUCUGGACAAAUUGAGUCAGCAGUGAGUAUUCCACAUUUCAUAUUUUAAAGAAAUAUAUUAUUUGUGUGUUU
rnacentral:lncRNA from 1 species